rnacentral:misc_RNA from 1 species
AAGUCGUAACAAGGUUUCCGUAGGUGAACCUGCGGAAGGAUCAUUCAAAAUAAAAUGCAUUGUGACGGUCUGUGGUGACACUUGAUCUCCAAUGUAUUCGGGUUGACUUUAUGCCCCCGUACCUUCUGUGCACAGCAUAUAUUUUACUUAAAACUAUACAGUCUGAAUAUUUAUUUCUUUUUUUAAUAUUUUCUAAAAAAUUAUUUUUUGGCAAAUAUUAUAUCUGAAUUUUAUAUACAACU